GCUUCUGUGGUCCAAUGGUUAGGAUUCCACCCUUCCACAACCGUCAACUGGUUGCAAGCAAGGUGGAGGUUCGUGUUCGAUUCACGGCAGUUGCA